rnacentral:rRNA from 1 species
GAUGAACGCUGGCGGCGUGCCUAAUACAUGCAAGUCGAGCGAACAGACGAGGAGCUUGCUCCUCUGACGUUAGCGGCGGACGGGUGAGUAACACGUGGAUAACCUACCUAUAAGACUGGGAUAACUUCGGGAAACCGGAGCUAAUACCGGAUAAUAUAUUGAACCGCAUGGUUCAAUAGUGAAAGACGGUUUUGCUGUCACUUAUAGAUGGAUCCGCGCCGCAUUAGCUAGUUGGUAAGGUAACGGCUUACCAAGGCAACGAUGCGUAGCCGACCUGAGAGGGUGGUCGGCCACAUGGGAACUGAGCCACGGUCCAGACUCCUACGGGAGGCAGCAGUAGGGAAUCUUCCGCAAUGGGGGAAAGCUUGACGGAGCAACGCCGCGUGAGUGAUGAAGGUCCUCGGAUCGUAAAACUAUGUUAUUAGGGAAGAACAAAUGUGGAAGUAACUAUGCACGUCUUGACGGUACCUAAUCAGAAAGCCCCGGCUAACUACGUG